UAAGAAGAGACCAGCAUCAUUGAG
rnacentral:piRNA from 2 species